rnacentral:rRNA from 1 species
CUCAGACGUGAGCACCCGCUGAACUUAAGCAUAU